rnacentral:rRNA from 1 species
ACCUUUUGCAUCAUGAUUUAGCCAGCACCCUCAAGCAAAGAGCACUUUAGUUUGACCACCCGAAAUUAGGUGAGCUACUCCAAGACAGCCUAUCCAUAAGGGCAAACCCGUCUCUGUGGCAAAAGAGUGGGACGAGCUUCGAGUAGAGGUGACAGACCUACCGAACCUAAUUAUAGCUGGUUGCCUGGGAACUGGAUAGAAGUUCAGCCCUACGGCUUCUCCUUCCCAACCCGUUCCAACACACCCCUGGCACUUUAGAGAAACCGUACGAGUUAGCCAAAGGAGGUACAGCCCCUUUGAACCAAGAAACAACUUUACCAGGAGGGUAUCAAUCAUAUUAUUUAAG